rnacentral:lncRNA from 1 species
GAUCAGCAAGGAUGGUGGUCAAGAGCCUGCCCAAGUUUUGGCUCCUAGCAAGCACUCGGCUAUUUCAAGGUACUCUUACGUGGUGCUGCAGAGGCCUGGAGAAAUUGCCAAGGAGAGAGAGUGGGCUCGUGUAAUCCGGCCAGUUCUGCGGCGUAGCCGGCACGUGGUCUGCCGAUUCUGCUGCAAGGAUGCACAAUUAAGGGAAUUUGUGUUCAGCAAGAGGAGGCAUGGCAGGCAUGUGUACCGCUUGGCACGAUCCAGUGAGUGGGGAGACCAGCUGCCUCUGGACAUGCUGCCACCUGACGAAGAAGGAACACCACUGUGUGAUGGCUGUGAUGGAGAUGUGGACGACGACACAUUCGAUGAUGUAGAUAGCAAAUAAACAAUAC